rnacentral:rRNA from 1 species
AGAGUUUGAUCCUGGCUCAGGAUGAACGCUGGCGGCGUGCCUAAUACAUGCAAGUCGAGCGAACGGACGAGAAGCUUGCUUCUCUGAUGUUAGCGGCGGACGGGUGAGUAACACGUGGAUAACCUACCUAUAAGACUGGGAUAACUUCGGGAAACCGGAGCUAAUACCGGAUAAUAUUUUGAACCGCAUGGUUCAAAAGUGAAAGACGGUCUUGCUGUCACUUAUAGAUGGAUCCGCGCUGCAUUAGCUAGUUGGUAAGGUAACGGCUUACCAAGGCAACGAUGCAUAGCCGACCUGAGAGGGUGAUCGGCCACACUGGAACUGAGACACGGUCCAGACUCCUACGGGAGGCAGCAGUAGGGAAUCUUCCGCAAUGGGCGAAAGCCUGACGGAGCAACGCCGCGUGAGUGAUGAAGGUCUUCGGAUCGUAAAACUCUGUUAUUAGGGAAGAACAUAUGUGUAAGUAACUGUGCACAUCUUGACGGUACCUAAUCAGAAAGCCACGGCUAACUACGUGCCAGCAGCCGCGGUAAUACGUAGGUGGCAAGCGUUAUCCGGAAUUAUUGGGCGUAAAGCGCGCGUAGGCGGUUUUUUAAGUCUGAUGUGAAAGCCCACGGCUCAACCGUGGAGGGUCAUUGGAAACUGGAAAACUUGAGUGCAGAAGAGGAAAGUGGAAUUCCAUGUGUAGCGGUGAAAUGCGCAGAGAUAUGGAGGAACACCAGUGGCGAAGGCGACUUUCUGGUCUGUAACUGACGCUGAUGUGCGAAAGCGUGGGGAUCAAGCAGGAUUAGAUACCCUGGUAGUCCACGCCGUAAACGAUGAGUGCUAAGUGUUAGGGGGUUUCCGCCCCUUAGUGCUGCAGCUAACGCAUUAAGCACUCCGCCUGGGGAGUACGACCGCAAGGUUGAAACUCAAAGGAAUUGACGGGGACCCGCACAAGCGGUGGAGCAUGUGGUUUAAUUCGAAGCAACGCGAAGAACCUUACCAAAUCUUGACAUCCUUUGACAACUCUAGAGAUAGAGCCUUCCCCUUCGGGGGACAAAGUGACAGGUGGUGCAUGGUUGUCGUCAGCUCGUGUCGUGAGAUGUUGGGUUAAGUCCCGCAACGAGCGCAACCCUUAAGCUUAGUUGCCAUCAUUAAGUUGGGCACUCUAAGUUGACUGCCGGUGACAAACCGGAGGAAGGUGGGGAUGACGUCAAAUCAUCAUGCCCCUUAUGAUUUGGGCUACACACGUGCUACAAUGGACAAUACAAAGGGCAGCGAAACCGCGAGGUCAAGCAAAUCCCAUAAAGUUGUUCUCAGUUCGGAUUGUAGUCUGCAACUCGACUACAUGAAGCUGGAAUCGCUAGUAAUCGUAGAUCAGCAUGCUACGGUGAAUACGUUCCCGGGUCUUGUACACACCGCCCGUCACACCACGAGAGUUUGUAACACCCGAAGCCGGUGGAGUAACCUUUUAGGAGCUAGCCGUCGAAGGUGGGACAAAUGAUUGGGGUGAAGUCGUAACAAGGUAGCCGUAUCGGAAGGUGCGGCUGGAUCACCU